GAAAUGCGAUAAGUAGUGUGAAUUGCAGAAUUCAGUGAAUCAUCGAAUCUUUGAACGCACAUUGCGCCCUUUGGUAUCCCUUGGGGCAUGCCUGUUCGAGCGUCAUCUAAACCCUCAAGCCCUGCUUGGUGUUGGGUGCCUGUCCCGCCCCCGUGCGUGGACUCAACUCAAAUCCAUUGGCGGCCCUCGUGCCGGCCCCGAGCGCAGCAGAAACGCGGUCUCGUGGCCCGGCGGAGCGUGCCCCCAGAAGCAACAUUCACCGUUUUGACCUCGGAUCAGGUAGGGAUACCCGCUGAACUUAAGC
rnacentral:misc_RNA from 1 species